UCCCGCUCCGUCCGCCACCUCGUCGUCGUCGUCGUCGUCCGCGGCGACGGUGGCGGCGGUGGCGGCGGUGUCGUCGUCGAGGCACCGCUCGUCCCCGGCACGCUCGCAGCGGUCGCGACGUGGCGACGACGACGCCGCCGCCACCUCGUCGUCCCGCUCCCCCCCCGCCCCCCCCGCCCCCGCCGGAGUCUCGUCGUCGGCGUCGUCGUCGCGGGACGCCGCCGGAGUCUCGUCGUCGUCGUCGUCGUCGUCACGCAAGAAGGCCACGCGCAGGUCCCCGUCCCCACGCUCGGAGCGCUCCCACCGGUCCGACAAGUCUGAGCGCACUCGCUCACCCACGCGGAGAGACUCGCCCAGCGUCAAGCGGUCCAAGCGGUCGCGUUCACGCUCUAGGUCUCCGACGUCAUCUGGGAGGAAGUCGCGCCGCUCACCAGCGGCGCGUUCACCACCUCGCUCGCACAA